AGCGCCACCCAGCGGUGAAGAGGCGGAACUGCAGCUUCUGACCCACAUGUGGCCGGCCGCCUUUAAAUCUACCGCGAUUACGAGAGCAAGGGCUCAUGAAAGUCCACGAAAAGUGUAUGUUUUCGCGCUGAGGAGCGUCCUGCGUGCUAGUAUAUGAUCUGAAGGCCGCGGAGGCACGCGCUCGGAGUGAAUCAAGACUCAGAGCUGCUGUGACCCGGAGCCAAAGAUGCAAGAGGGGCCAGGAAAGGGUGGGCAGAGCUCAGAUGAGAGUUUGGAGGAAGAGGAGGCUCAGCGGUGCCCGAUCUGUCUGAACCGACCCAGACGGACGGAGAGAGCCGUACCUGACUGCUGCAGACAUGUCUACUGCUUGGACUGCAUCCGCCGCUGGGCUCAGAUGGUUCGUUCCUGCCCAGUGGACCGCAGACCCUUCAGCAUGAUCUACCUGCAGGGUUCCUCGCAGCGGUGCAUCAAGCUUCCUGUGAAGACGGCCAGACUUUCAGAGAUGCACACAUGCUGCAGUCAGGACGGUGAACGAAUGUGUCCCGUCUCUGUGGAAGAGACAGGAAGUGCAGAGAGAAACACAAGAGGAAAGAGCUAACGCCAAACUGAAAUGCCACAGAAAAUCAGGUGAUUCAGAUGAAUCUUUGGAUAAAAACAGGAAGGAGAAAGGAGACUCGUGCCACUCUCUUCUGCUCACUCAGCAUUGUCCCUCAUCACUGCCCGGCCAGCAGGGGGCGAUGGUCGGUACCCUGACGCAGAUCAUGACAGGAUCUGUUGAGGUUUGUGAGGAAGGACCAGAUGAUAUCCAGUGGAGGAGAUUAGAGCGAAAACGCAGGUGGCUUCCUGCCUCGGUACCUGCCCCCUCUACAGAUGUGUCCAGGGUGUCACUCCGCUCACACCUGCUUCUGUCAGCGGUCUCUGCCUCUCUGAAUGUGCUGCUUUCUGAACCCACAGGUAGGUCCAC